rnacentral:tRNA from 1 species
GCCCUCAUCGUCUAGAGGCCUAGGACGCCACCCUUUCAAGGUGGAGAUCACCGGUUCGAAUCCGGUUGGGGGUACCA